GGUAAAAAUAGAUUUUAGGUCUUAGUGGGAUAUUCGCUUUGGCAAGUGUGAUCGUAAUCAUGAGAUUUGGACUACCGAAAUUAGAAUCCUGUUUCUGUGCCUCUGUGUUAAUCAGUACUCAGUUAAUCAGUCUAUGAUUCUACAAGCUGCUAUUUUUUCGAAGCCCAACUCGUCGGGGGUACUUGCUACGACCUUUAAUGCUGUUAUCAGGAAGUCUAGGCUUCUGGCCAUGUAUCAUUAAAGCGGACAACGGAUUUUUUUAUGUUCUAUAUCUGAAUGUGGGAACAACUCCAACAUUUUAACGGUAUAAAAGGCGGUGAUCCGCGCAGUUGUAGUAGAAGGGAGUAGGACGAGUAUUCCGUCAAACCUGCGGGAAUGAUACCUUAAAUCUGUAAAACAAAAGUUUGAAUUAUUUCAGAUUGUCCUUAUGGACCACCCUCCCCCUAAUUAGAACUGCCGUUCCAAGGUCCGCUUGUACCCGUUCUUCUGAGUUAGCGGGGUUAGCUUGUUCCCUAGUCUUUUGUUAUUCCUUGGGUAAACCUUUUCACCCACUUCAAAGACUCUGUUCUGCCUCGAGAUGUUAAACCUGUCGAUAUUGGCCUCUUGUGCCUUAUCAAUUCUGGUUCUAAUUGCUAACUUCAGAUCGUUGUUGCUUACAUGGAUUGCUUCUACAGGCUUCUGGUCUAUGACCGAAUGUAGCGUCCUGUUGUAUUCUACAGUGGCGCGCAUGAUUAGCUCGACGGUGUCCUCAAUCUUUUGGUCGAUUUUUAUGCACCUUGCUAUCUCUGCCAACGUGCUGUGAAAUCUCUCUACUUGCCCGUUGGACCUACUAUGUAAAGGGGGUGCAUUUACGAUGUCGAUGCCAUAUUGGUUUUUAAGCAAAGAGGUAAUUGUUUCGGAGUUGAAGGAAGGCUCAUUGUCACAAUAUAUGGUCUUGGUAUUCGGGUAAAAAUUUAUCAAUUGUAUAAUGGGGGCUCGUACCUAUACUAUAGCCCUGGAAGAGAGGGGCUGUACGAUGGCAAACUUUGAGAACUUGUCGAUGCAGGUCAAAAAAAGUUUCUUGUCUGUGGAGAAUAUAUCAAUGUGCAGCAUUUCUCCGGCGUAUGACGGAACAGGGGUGACCCCCAGCUCUUGUUUUUUUGGGUGUCUGUUAUACUUUGCCUUGGUGCAGACUCUGCAGUUCAUAACCACCUCGUUAGCAAGUUUGGUCAUUUUCGGGAAAUAGUAGUCACGAAGGACCUGCUUAACAUUUUCUUGGGCUGCCCUAUGGGCGCGAUUGUGUUCGGAUGUAAUUAUUUCAGCCUUCUCGCUUGCGUCUGUGAUAUCGUUUACGAAGUUUUUGCAAUGCCAGAACUUGGUUGCGGGAAACUCCAGCACCAGAGCAUGUUGGAGGGUAGCUAAAGUCGGAAGAUCACAGUGGAUUGCAUUCACGACCUUGGAAUUGACCACCUCC
rnacentral:lncRNA from 1 species